GAUGAACGCUGGCGGCGUGCCUAAUACAUGCAAGUCGAGCGAACGGACGAGAAGCUUGCUUCUCUGGUGUUAGCGGCGGACGGGUGAGUAACACGUGGAUAACCUACCUAUAAGACUGGGAUAACUUCGGGAAACCGGAGCUAAUACCGGAUAAUAUUUUGAACCGCAUGGUUCAAAAGUGAAAGACGGUCUUGCUGUCACUUAUAGAUGGAUCCGCGCUGCAUUAGCUAGUUGGUAAGGUAACGGCUUACCAAGGCAACGAUGCAUAGCCGACCUGAGAGGGUGAUCGGCCACACUGGAACUGAGACACGGUCCAGACUCCUACGGGAGGCAGCAGUAGGGAAUCUUCCGCAAUGGGCGAAAGCCUGACGGAGCAACGCCGCGUGAGUGAUGAAGGUCUUCGGAUCGUAAAACUCUGUUAUUAGGGAAGAACAUAUGUGUAAGUAACUGUGCACAUCUUGACGGUACCUAAUCAGAAAGCCACGGCUAACUACGUG
rnacentral:rRNA from 1 species